UUUAACUUUGUACACGGUUUAUUGGAAGAAUAUUGCUAGAAAUAAGGAGUAGAAUGAAUCUGACUUGAUUUGCCGUGUCUUACUUUGAAUUUCAAAUUCAAAUAUUGGUGCUUUAACCCUUUUUCUAGCACGAGGCUCAUUAAUCAUUUUAAACAAAUAUGGUGAGGGAAAUCAGAUCUUUUAGUCAAACCUGAUGCUUUCGUUUAUGCUCUAUUUCCUUCACUCUCUCACUUCCUGAUGCUAACGUUUAUGCUCAGAUCCCUAAUCCCAAUGGCAGGGGUUCAAAUCCUCCGCAACCCACUUCCAAAACCCCUCCAGGGUUGAUGGUGUAUGCUCCUUCAAGGCCUUUCUCUUCCACUCCAUGAUGUUGUCGACGUCGUUUCACCCUCCGAGCCCCAAUCCCCCUAUCCGAGACAAUCCCGCUCCACUGCGAGCUCAUAUCCUGCAGGUCCCUUGGCAAGAAACCCUCCUGCAGGUUCCACUGUGACUUAGGAGCAAAGCUCCAACUGUGGAAGUGAGGCUCAAGAAUUUGACUAUUGAGGUUGAUUCCUAUGUUGUCAGCAGAGCUUUGCCAAACCUACCAAGGUCUGCAUUGAACAUUGUAGAAAUACUUCUUGGAGCCGGUGGGAUUAGUACUACUAUGGGAACAAAGCUCAUAAUUCCAAAUUAGAAGCUGAGAUGUUUCUCAUAGAAACCCUUGGAUCAUAUGACCCUGACUACUUCCUGCUAUUGCACCCCGGCGACCUCUACUUUUCCGUCAAUCAACUUCCUGAAGAAUCUUCUUUACCAUUCUUGUUCCGAAUACCAAGAGUUGUCGGAGCAACUUUUUACGAUUGGAGCAUCUUACUAAGGUGACUUAUACUGAACAACCAGGGGGGGGGAGAAGACAUUAUGAGAUAUCUUGAACAUAAAAUGGGUGAGCGAAGCAAAACAUUGAGUGCUUGGUCUCUGUAAGUUUCCUUUUUUUUGUCUUCAUUUGUCUGCAGACUGCUAUUAAUGCAAGACAGUUUUAUAACUUUUAUCUCAUUCAAUCUCUGCGAAGUCCCAACUGCUUAUUGUGUUUGGUGCCAAUGUUUAAGUUGGUUUCAUUGCUUACUAUUAUUGUUGAACUUCUAUGCACUGUAUGAUGAUAGUUCUUUUAUAUAAAAAUAAAGGUUUGUUUUUUUUAAAAAAAAGAACUGUCACUUGGAAGUUAUGUUAUUUUAAUCUUGGCUUAAUUACACGUUUGGUCCUCCAACUUUGGCCCUCAUGCGAAAAUCGUCCCCAAACUUUAAAAUUAGCAAAAAACAUCCCUAACGUUUACACCCGGUUGCAAAAAUGGUCUACCGUCCAAUUCCAUCCAAUAUUUAACGAAUUAUGGGAUAAAAAUUAAUAAAAGAUAAGAAAAUAAAACAAAAACCUAGAAAUUUAUGAAUGUUCAUGUUCUUCAAAGAUAUGGGUUCUAAAUCUCUUCUCUCUUCAACCCAAAACCUAGAUGCAAUGAACUCAAUUACCCAAAAUACAUGAAACCCAAAUACAUAAUUCAAACAUUUUGACCGACAAAUACAUUUCAAAGAUCUGGGUUCUAAAUCUUUUCUCGGAUUCGAAGAGAUAUACCUAGUUUAUAGGUUUUUUUUUUUGCGGUUUCAACCCGUUGUUCCCUUCCAAGGGCGAAGAGGCACCUCUCUGCCACCGCCGUCACGCCUCUUCUCUCCAAAAUCCAUAUCUGAUGAAGAUCUCUGAUUGUUCAUGCAAAUAUAGCAGUGGCCGCUCCAAUCUCCCCCUCGAACCUUCACCCAACGUAACAACGACGACCAAGUGUGAAGCAUUUGCCCAGAUCGCAGAGGAGGUGAUGGGUUGAGGAUGAUGAUGGCUGGGGGUUUUGAGAUGGCAGUGCUUACAUCGCUGUCAGACACGGCGGAGCAGAAAGAGGUUCUGUGGUGACUAUGGUUGAUUCCGGUGACAAAGCUUGAGGCUGGAGAGGACGAGGCGAUGCAACAGAUCUGACGAGGUGCGUGGCGGUGGCGAUUUAGAAGGGAUCUGGCUUUUUUUUUUUGAAUGGGUUUCCAUGGGUUAACUCUGUUUCUUUGCUUUUUUUCCUGAUGAUGUUUGAGUAGCUGUGUGAGGUUGAGGGUGUAUUUUCUGCUUGAUUUCAUGAAUAUUGUUGGGUGAUUUUUUUUAGCCUUGUUGGUGAUUUUUUGGGUGGAUUUUCAUUUGCCACUGGUAAUUAGUUUUUAGUGGUGGUGUUCAGAGACAUUGAGUUGAUUCCUGCCUGUGAUUCUUCAUGAUAAAUCUGAUGGCAAUUUCAAUUUCAUGAAGGUGAAAACUGUUGUUGUUGUUGUUGUUGUUGUUGUUGUUGUUGUUGUUGUUGUUGUUGUUGUUGUUGUUGUUGUUGUUGUUGUUGUUGUUGUUCUGUCUGCUGGACUGUUGCUCGUCCCUAAGGGCUUUGAUAAGUAUGAAUUGAAGUGAAAGAUG